rnacentral:rRNA from 1 species
ACAACUUUUAACAACGGAUCUCUUGGUUCUCGCAUCGAUGAAGAACGUAGCAAAGUGCGAUAACUAGUGUGAAUUGCAUAUUCAGUGAAUCAUCGAGUCUUUGAACGCAUCU